rnacentral:rRNA from 1 species
UGGGGAAUAUUGGACAAUGGGCGCAAGCCUGAUCCAGCCCUGUCGCGUGAGUGAUGAAGGCCCUAGGGUUGUAAAGCUCUUUCACCGGUGAAGAUAAUGACGGUAACCGGAGAAGAAGCCCCGGCUAACUUCGUGCCAGCAGCCGCGGUAAUACGAAGGGGGCUAGCGUUGCUCGGAUUUACUGGGCGUAAAGCGCACGUAGGCGGACUUUUAAGUCAGGGGUGAAAUCCCGGGGCUCAACCCCGGAACUGCCUUUGAUACUGGAAGUCUUGGGUAUGGUAGAGGUGAGUGGAAUUCCGAGUGGAGAGGUGAAAUUCGUAGAUAUUCGGAGGAACACCAGUGGCGGAGGCGGCUCACUGGACCAUUACUGACGCUGAGGUGCGAAAGCGUGGGGAGCAAACAGG